rnacentral:rRNA from 1 species
UGUCCCCUUGGAUGGGCAGUCGGCAUCAGCUGAUGCGGGCUUUCUGUGGCAUCGCUUGAACUUGCUUUGCGACCUGAGCUCAGGCGAGAACAUCCGCUGAGUUUAAGCAUAUAAUUAAGUGGAGGAAAAGAAACUUAUAAGGAUUCCCCUAGUAGCGGCGAGCCUGGGCCAAGUCCCUUGGAAGGGGGCGCCUAAGAGGGUGACAGCCCUGUCGGCCCGGGACCCUGCCGCAUCACGAGGCGUUGUCAGUGAGUCAGGUUGUUUGGGAAUGCAACCCUAAUUGGGUGGUGAAUUCCGUCCAAGACUAAAUAUGGGCGAGAGAUCGAUAGUGAACAAGUACCGCGAGGGAAAGAUGAAAAGGACUUUUAAAAGAGAGUUAAAGAGUGCUUGAAAUUGUCGGGAGGGAAACGGAUUGAGGCUGUCAAUGUGUCUCGGUUGGAUGUGGAACGGCUCAGGCUGGUCCACCACUUGACUUGAGGUGCAAACUAACAUGGGUUGAUGCAUCGUCAUAAGCCCGGGUGGAUUUCCGCCUGUCGGUUUGCGUCUAUGGUGGUCGAGGAACGAAGCGUGCGCCCUUGUGGCAAGUUGUGUGCACCUGUGCACUCAUGGUGUUGGUCGGUGGGCUUUCCAUUCGACCUGUCUUGAAACAUAGACCAAGGAGUCUAACAUGUGUGCGAGUUGGCGGGUUUGAAAACCUGUGAGGUGCAAGGAAGCUGACGAGCGAGAUCCCCUCUCUUGGGGGGGUGCAUCGUCGACCAAACUUGAGCUUAUGCGAAGGGUUCGAGUGCGAGCACACCUAUUGGGACCUGAAAGAUGGUGAACUAUGCCUGAGCAGGGCGAAGCCAAAGGAAGCUUUGGUGGAGGCUCAUAGCAAUACUGAUGUGCAAAUGAUUCGUCUGACUCGGGUAUAGGGGUGAAAGACUAAUCGAACCAUCUAGUAGAUGGUUUCCUCCGAAGUUUCCCUCAGGAUAGCUGGAGCUCAUGCGUGAGUUUUAUCGGGUAAAGCAAAUGAUUAGAGGCAUCGGGGGCGUAACGCCCUCGACCUAUUCUCAAACUUUAAAUAGGUAAGAGAGUGCAGCUGCUCCAUUGAGCUGUGCCGUGGAAUAGAGAGCUCCAAGUGGGCCAUUUUUGGUAAGUAGAAUUGGUGAUGCAGGAUGAACCAAAAGUUGAGUUACGGUGUCGAAUUGUGCGCUAACCUAGAUCCCACAAAGGGUAUUGGUUGAUUAAGACAGUAGGACACUGGUCAUGGAAGUGAAAAUCCGCUAAGGAGUGUGUAACAACUCACCUGCCGAAUCAACUAGCCUCGAAAAUGGAUGGUGCUAAAGCGCGCAACCUAUACUCGACUGUCGAAGCAAUUACCUAGCUCCGAGGAGCAGGAGGACAUGGGGGUCGUUGAGAAACCUCGAGCGUGAGCUUGGGUGGAUCGGCCCCCGGUGCAGAUCUUGGUGGUAGUAGCAAAUAUUCAAAUGAGAACUUUGAAGACUGAAGUGGGGAAAGGUUCCAUGUGAAUAGCACUUGGACAUGGGUUAGUCGAUCCUAAGAGAUGGGGAAGCCUUGUAUCAAGGGUGCACUCUGCACGAGCAUCGAAAGGGAAUCAGGUUAAUAUUCCCGAACCGGGACAUGGCGGCGGGCGGCAAUGUUAGGAAAUCCGGAGACGUCGUCAGGGGUCCCGGGAAGAGUUAUCUUUUCUUUUUAAUAGCUUUCCCACCCUAGAAUCGGUUCACUCGGAGAUAGGGUCCAACAGCUGGAAGAGUAGUGCACAUCUUGCAGUGUCCAGUGCGCCUUCGACGACACUUGAAAAUCUAGAGGACCGAGUACCAUUCUUGCCGAGUCGUACUCAUAACCGCAUCAGGUCUCCAAGGUGAAAAACCUCUGGUCAAUAUAACCAUUUAGGUAAGGGAAGUCAGCAAAACAGAUAUGUAACUUCUGGAAAAGAAUUGGCUCUCAGGGCUGGGCCUAGGGGUCUGUGCCCUCAACUCGUGGGCUCUCAGCAGUCUGCCCAAGCUGCUCUCGUGGCAAGGGUGGGCAGUCGCGUGCCGAUUGGGCUACGAGCGUAGAAUGCCCCCUGCCGGGGAAUUUUCCCUAGGCGUCGAACAAUCGACUCGGAACUGGUACGGACAAGGGGAAUCCGACUGUUUAAUUAAAACAAAGCAUUGCGAUGGUCCCUGCAGAUGCUGACGCAAUGUGAUUUCUGCCCAGUGCUCUAAAUGUCAAAGUGAAGAAAUUCAACCAAACACAGGUAAACGGCGGGAGUAACUAUGACUCUCUUAAGGUAGCCAAAUGCCUCGUCAUCUAAUUAGUGAUGCGCAUGAAUAGAUUAACGAGAUUCCCACUAUCCCUAUCUACUAUCUAAUGAAACCACAACCAAGGGAACGGGAUUGGCAGAAUCAGUGGGGAAAGAAGACCCUGUUAAGAUUGAAUCUAGUCCGAAUUUGUUAAAUGACAUGAGAGGUGUAGAAUAAGUGGGAGCCGUUAUUUUACUUAUUCCGUGGGGCGGAGACGGGGCACUGCCCCUGUUUUUGGCCUUAAGGCAUGUUUCGGCGGGUCGAUCCGGGCGGAAGACAUUGUCAUGUGAGGAGUUUGGCUGGGGCAGCACAUCUUUUAAAAGAUAACACAGGUGUCCUAAGAUGAGCUCAAUGAGAACAGAAAUCUCAUGUGGAACAAAAGGGUAAAAGCUCAUUUGAUUUUGAUUUUCAGUACGAAUACAAACCGUGAAAGUGUGGCCUAUCGAUCCUUUAGAUUUUAAAAAUUUGAAGCUAAAGGUGUUAGAAAAGUUACCACAGGGAUAACUGGCUUGUGGCAGCCAAGUGUUCAUAGCGACGUUUCUUUCUGAUCCUUCGAUGUCGACUCUUCCUAUCAUUGUGAAGUAGAAUUUACCAAGUGUUGGAUUAUUCACCAAACAAUAGGGAAUGUGAGCUGGGUUUAGACCGUCGUGAGACAGGUUAGUUUUACCCUAUUGAUGAACCGCACCGCAAUAGUAAUUCAACUUAGUACGAGAGGAAUCGUUGAUUCUCACAAUUGGUCAUCGCACUUGGUUGAAAAUCCAGUGGUGAGAAGCUACCGUGUGUUGGAUUAUGACUGAAUGCCUUUAAGUCAGAAUCCACGUUAGAAGCGGUGGAUGUCACUCUUUGACUGUAUCUCGACCCGCAGUAGGGGCGUCGCUUUUCGCCUCCAGAGGCCCGUGUCAUUUGCAAACUGUGACCAUGAAGCAUCUCGGUCGGGGCAGCUUUGAAGUUCAAUUCCAAAUGGUCGUUUAGAAGAAUCCU